UCUCUCUCUCUCUCUCUCUCUCUCUCUCUGUGUGUGUGUGUGUGUGUGUGUGUGUGUGAGAGAGAGAGAGAGAGAGAGAGAGAGAGA